rnacentral:rRNA from 2 species
AUCAACUUUCGAUGGUAGGAUAGAGGCCUACCAUGGUGGUAACGGGUAACGGGGUGUUAGGGCACGACACCGGAGAGGGAGCCUGAGAAACGGCUACCACAUCCAAGGAUGGCAGCAGGCGCGCAAAUUACCCAAUCCCGACACGGGGAGGUAGUGACAAUAAAUAACAAUACGGGGUUCUUUCGGAUUUCGUAAUUGGAAUGAGUACAAUUUAAAUCUCUUAACGAGGAACAAUUGGAGGGCAAGUCUGGUGCCAGCAGCCGCGGUAAUUCCAGCUCCAAUAGCGUAUAUUAAAGUUGCUGCAGUUAAAAAGCUCGUAGUUGAAUUUCGGGACCAAUAUGUCGGUCGUGCCUCGGUACGUACUGGCAUCGUUGGUUUCUCCCUUCUGACGAACCAUGAUGUCAUUUAUUUGGUGUCGUGGGGAAUCAGGACUGUUACUUUGAAAAAAUUAGAGUGUUUAAAGCAGGCUCACGCUUGAAUACAUUAGCAUGGAAUAAUGAAAUAGGACGUUUGAUUCUAUUUUGUUGGUUUCUAGGAUCGACGUAAUGAUUAAUAGGGAUAGUUGGGGGCAUUAGUAUUCAAUUGUCAGAGGUGAAAUUCUUGGAUUUAUUGAAGACUAACUACUGCGAAAGCAUUUGCCAAGGAUGUUUUCAUUAAUCAAGAACGAAAGUUAGGGGAUCGAAGACGAUCAGAUACCGUCGUAGUCUUAACCAUAAACUAUGCCGACUAGGGAUCGGAUGAUGUUAAUUUUUUAAUGACUCAUUCGGCGCCUUACGGGAAACCAAAGUGUUUGGGUUC